GUCAGCAGCCGCGGUAAUACCGGCGGCUCGAGUGGUGGCCACUUUAUUGGGCUUAAAGCGUUCGUAGCUGGGUCGUUAAGUCUCUUGGGAAAUCCGGCAGCUUAACUGUCGGGCGUCUAAGGGAUACUGGCGAUCUUGGAACCGGGAGAGGUGAGGGGUACUUCGGGGGUAGGAGUGAAAUCCUGUAAUCCUCGAGGGACCACCUGUGGCGAAGGCGCCUCACCAGAACGGCUUCGACAGUGAGGGACGAAAGCUGGGGGAGCAAACCGGAUUAGAUACCCGGGUAGUCCCAGCCGUAAACGAUGUGCGUUAGGUGUAUCGACGACCACGAGUCGUCGAGGUGCCGAAGGGAAACCGUGAAACGUACCGCCUGGGAAGUACGGUCGCAAGGCUGAAACUUAAAGGAAUUGGCGGGGGAGCACCACAACAGGUGGAGCCUGCGGUUUUAAAUUGGACUCAACGCCGGGAAGCUCACCGGAUAAGACAGCUGAAUGAUUGCCGGGCUGAAGACUCUGCAUGACUAGCUGAGAGGAGGUGCAUGG
rnacentral:rRNA from 1 species